rnacentral:rRNA from 1 species
AUUGAACGCUGGCGGCAGGCCUAACACAUGCAAGUCGAGCGGAUGAAGGGAGCUUGCUCCUGGAUUCAGCGGCGGACGGGUGAGUAAUGCCUAGGAAUCUGCCUGGUAGUGGGGGAUAACGUCCGGAAACGGGCGCUAAUACCGCAUACGUCCUGAGGGAGAAAGUGGGGGAUCUUCGGACCUCACGCUAUCAGAUGAGCCUAGGUCGGAUUAGCUAGUUGGUGGGGUAAAGGCCUACCAAGGCGACGAUCCGUAACUGGUCUGAGAGGAUGAGCAGUCACACUGGAACUGAGACACGGUCCAGACUCCUACGGGAGGCAGCAGUGGGGAAUAUUGGACAAUGGGCGAAAGCCUGAUCCAGCCACGCCGCGUGUGUGAAGAAGGUCUUCGGAUUGUAAAGCACUUUAAGUUGGGAGGAAGGGCAGUAAGUUAAUACCUUGCUGUUUUGACGUUACCAACAGAAUAAGCACCGGCUAACUUCGUG